AUUGAACGCUGGCGGCAUGCCUCACACAUGCAAGUCGAACGGCAGCACGGGAGCAAUCCUGGUGGCGAGUGGCGAACGGGUGAGUAAAGCAUCGGAACGUGCCCAGUCGUGGGGGAUAACGUAGCGAAAGCUACGCUAAUACCGCAUACGAUCUGUGGAUGAAAGCGGGGGACCGUAAGGCCUCGCGCGAUUGGAGCGGCCGAUGUCAGAUUAGGUAGGUGGUGAGGUAAAGGCUCACCAAGCCGACGAUCUGUAGCUGGUCUGAGAGGACGAGCAGCCAAAAUGGGACUGAGACACGGCCCAGACUGCGACGGGAGGCAGCAGGGGGGAAUGUUGGAGAAGGGGCGCAAGCCUGAUCCAGCAAUGCCGCGUGCAGGAUGAAGGCAUUCGGGUUGUAAACUGCUUUUGUACGGAGCGAAACGGCUUCCACUAAUACUGGGGGCUAAUGACGGUACCGUAAGAAUAAGCACCGGCUAACUACGUGCCAGCAGCCGCGGUAA
rnacentral:rRNA from 1 species